rnacentral:lncRNA from 1 species
CUCUUCUUAGCUGGAACCUGAGAAUUGUAUCCUAAAAUCCAGCAACGAACAGUGGCACGAAAUUCUGCUCAAAAUAGGAAUGAACGGCAAACAUGAAGAAACCAUAAACCUGACGUGAUGUCUUCUCCAGCAUCUUAAUUCUGAACAACUUACAUGGCUAACUCCUCUCUGAAGAGACUAACAAUAGUGCAUUCAUCAGAAGAGCUCCAGUUGGAGCCCAGGAAGAGACAACAGAAGGCUGGGACCAGGCGGGCUGGCUAGAGAGUCACUGGAAAACCAAACCAAAUGGAGAAGAAGGACCACAUUUUCAGAGUUUUAAUAUCAUCUUUGGAUUCUAAUUGGAUCUACUUUGCUUACAAUUCUAAUCAUUUGGGUCAGUCAUUUUCAUUUUGAGCUGAGAUAGAUAAUUGUAUUGUGAAGUAUAUUGUAGUAAUUGAUAUUGUGUAAUUGUAAUUGUGAAGAUAGUAAUUGUAUUGUGAAGCUUCUCUGUACUCAUCUGUAAAAUGGAAAUAAAGCUGAUCACAUAGAAUAAAGGUCA